rnacentral:rRNA from 1 species
UACGGAGGGGACUAGCGUUGUUCGGAAUUACUGGGCGUAAAGCGCAGCGUAGGCGGAUUUGUAAGUCAGGGGUGAAAUCCCGGGGCUCAACCUCGGAACUGCCUUUGAUACUGCAAAUCUCGAGUCCGGGAAGAGGUGAGUGGAAUUCCUAGUGUAGAGGUGAAAUUCGUAGAUAUUCGGAAGAACACCAGUGGCGAAGGCGACUCACUGGACAUGUAUUGACGCUGAGGUGCGAAAGCGUGGGGAGCAAACAGGG